UACGUAGGGUGCAAGCGUUAAUCGGAAUUACUGGGCGUAAAGCGUGCGCAGGCGGUGAUGUAAGACAGGUGUGAAAUCCCCGGGCUUAACCUGGGAACUGCAUUUGUGACUGCAUCGCUGGAGUGCGGCAGAGGGGGAUGGAAUUCCGCGUGUAGCAGUGAAAUGCGUAGAUAUCUGGAGGAACACCGGUGGCGAAGGCGGCAUCCUGGACCAAUACUGACACUGAGACGCGAAAGCGUGGGUAGCAAACAGG
rnacentral:rRNA from 1 species